rnacentral:tRNA from 1 species
ACGUCGAUAGCUCAGUUAGUAGAGCGGACGACUGCAGAAUAGCAGCUAUCCUUAUGUCGCUGAUUCGAAUCCGGCUCGACGGA